rnacentral:rRNA from 1 species
CCUGGCUCAGAACGAACGCUGGCGGCAGGCUUAACACAUGCAAGUCGAGCGCCUCGCAAGAGGAGCGGCAGACGGGUGAGUAACGCGUGGGAAUCUACCCAUCUCUACGGAACAACUCCGGGAAACUGGAGCUAAUACCGUAUACGUCCUUCGGGAGAAAGAUUUAUCGGAGAUGGAUGAGCCCGCGUUGGAUUAGCUAGUUGGUGGGGUAAUGGCCUACCAAGGCGACGAUCCAUAGCUGGUCUGAGAGGAUGAUCAGCCACAUUGGGACUGAGACACGGCCCAAACUCCUACGGGAGGCAGCAGUGGGGAAUAUUGGACAAUGGGCGCAAGCCUGAUCCAGCCAUGCCGCGUGAGUGAUGAAGGCCCUAGGGUUGUAAAGCUCUUUCAACGGUGAAGAUAAUGACGGUA